UACGUAGGUGGCAAGCGUUGUCCGGAUUUAUUGGGCGUAAAGAGCUCGUAGGCGGUUUCGUAAGUCGGAUGUGAAAACUCCAGGCUCAACUUGGAGACGCCAUUCGAUACUGCGAUGACUUGAGUCCGGUAGGGGAGUGUGGAAUUCCUGGUGUAGCGGUGAAAUGCGCAGAUAUCAGGAGGAACACCGGUGGCGAAGGCGGCGUUCUGGACUGCUACUGACACUGAUGAACGAAAGCCAGGGGAGCAAACGGG
rnacentral:rRNA from 1 species